AUCAAUUCAGGCCUUUUGGUGAAAAUAUAGUACCUGUUCUUAUCAAUUUUAUAGUUGAUAUGUUCCCAAACCAAGGACAGUAUAUUAAAUGGAUUUGGAGUGGAGAGAUGGAAUAGAAGCUUUCGCCAUCCUCUCCACACAUCAU
ensembl:snRNA U2 U2 spliceosomal RNA